UACGUAGGGGGCAAGCGUUGUCCGGAUUUAUUGGGCGUAAAGAGCGUGUAGGCGGUUUGGUAGGUCCGCUGUGAAAACUCGAGGCUCAACCUCGAGACGCCGGUGGAAACCAUCAGACUAGAGUCCGGAAGAGGAGAGUGGAAUUUCUGGUGUAGCGGUGAAAUGCGCAGAUAUCAGGAAGAACACCCGUGGCUAAGGCGGCUCUCUAGUACGGUACUGACGCUGAGACGCGAAAGCGUGGGGAGCGAACAGG
rnacentral:rRNA from 1 species